rnacentral:rRNA from 1 species
UGAAUUGACGGGGCCCGCACAAGGCGGUGGAGCAUGUGGUUUAAUUCGAAGCAACGCGAAGAACCUUACCAGGUCUUGACAUCCCCUGACAACCCGAGAGAUCGGGCGUUCCCCUUCGGGGGACAGGGUGACAGGUGGUGCAUGGUUGUCGUCAGCUCGUGUCGUGAGAUGUUGGGUUAAGUCCCGCAACGAGCGCAACCCUCGACCUUAGUUGCCAGCAUUCAGUUGGGCACUCUAAGGUGACUGCCGGCUAAAAGUCGGAGGAAGUGGGGAUGACGUCAAAUCAUCAUGCCCCUUAUGACCUGGGCUACACACGUGCUACAAUGGGCGGUACAAAGGGUCGCGAACCCGCGAGGGGGAGCCAAUCCCAAAAAGCCGCUCUCAGUUCGGAUUGCAGGCUGCAACUCGCCUGCAUGAAGCCGGAAUCGCUAGUAAUCGCGGAUCAGCAUGCCGCGGUGAAUACGUUCCCGGGCCUU